GCUAAUUUAGCGUAGCGGUAACGCGUUGGGCUUCAUGCUCGAAUCAAUGAUUUUAGCGUCGUGAGUUCGAAUCCCGCUGUCGGCG
rfam:Crassostrea gigas strain 05x7-T-G4-1.051#20 contig30401, whole genome shotgun sequence.